rnacentral:misc_RNA from 1 species
AAGUCGUAACAAGGUUUCCGUAGGUGAACCUGCGGAAGGAUCAAUCCUUAUAAUACAUAUUUAUAUGUAUGCAUUUUAUAUAUGAUGCCUAUUCUUCUCGGAGAAUAAGUGUAGUUGAAUUCAAACAGUUCGUUUGAUCAGCUAAAAAACUAAAAAAACACUUUUUAGCCAUUUGAAACGUAAAAAGUUUUUCACAACUAUUAGUGGUGGAUCACUUGGCUCGCAGGUC